rnacentral:ncRNA from 1 species
UGAAUCCAUGAACAGAGAGAUCAGCAUUUCCCUUAAUAAGGAUAGAAAAAUUCUUAUAAUACAUACUGUUUAAGCAUUGUCAUCCACUUUGUGACACUACAGAUGGGCCUAU